GAUAGGAAGGAACGUGAUGGUUCCUCCGACAGGAGGAUGAAAAGGGAAGCCGGUGCGGCCAAACAGGUCAAAUCCGGCACUGCCCCCGCAACUGUGGACGGUUAUCUGUUCUGCCGGCAUGCCUCUUGUGGCGUGCGACCACUGGGCCUGGUCCCGGGAAGGUCUGGCAGGAGAGGAGGCGCUGAAUGCGUCUCGGCCGUGAGUCAGGAGACCUGCCAUCUGAGCCGAGUGUCA
rnacentral:ncRNA from 2 species